rnacentral:hammerhead_ribozyme from 1 species
GCCGAAACGCCCACGAGGGCGUCUGUCGGGGACGGUCUCCCGGCACUGACGAUGGCAGACCA